AUGAACAUCGUGGAGAGCAUGGGCAGGCCGAUGAACACACCUUAAAACAAGUGGCUUCCCUCAGAUGAAUGAAGGGACACACUGUUUGCAAGCCUCAUAGUGCUGAGAGGAAGCUUUUAACCUGAGACUUAUAAUCAUGUGCUGUAGUGUCAGCCUCGGGAAACAUGAAAUGCAACACUUAAGCCUCAGUUAUAAAUAGAUGCUGUUUGGCUGCUUUCUGGAAAAGUGCCUUCCUUCCCAGGGGUGGAGGAGCUGGUUCAGUCUUGCAUUUGUCUUUGGUGAGUGUGGGCAACUGGGCCAGUGGCACCGCUCCCACAAAUUGCCCAGCAGGAACCAUGCA